GAGUUAGAAAUGAUUAUAAAAAUAAUUCUUUAUUCUGACUUACUUAAUUUGGGUAUAACAAACUUUUUAUUACAACUAUAGAAUCUGAGUUAC
rnacentral:snoRNA from 1 species